UCUAGGUCCCCCUUCACCCCAGAAUUACGUAAGACGUUUACUGACUUUCACUUUCAGUUUCUGAGAAACUCCGUAUGUUCUUGUAACAGGUGUUUGCUCUUCUUUGCCCCUGCACAGGCCUCCAGUUACAGUUUAAUCACUGAGUAAGAAUGUGCAUGAGCCGUGCUGGAAGCAUCAUCUUUCAUACUGGAUAUCUAUUUAUAUACAGUUCUUGUCAUCAGCACGUACCGGGGCAGAAAUGGGCAAAAUCAAAUUUUUCUUGUGAGCUAAAUCAGUUUCUAAUUGACACAGUCAUCUUGAAAGUGAUAGUGGAAAUGUUGCAAUAUAAAAGCUUUGCAGUAGCUUCUUUCUGUUCAGUAAAGCAGCUGCAGCUAAAGGACCUGAGUCUUCCUCCAGCAGACAUCACAAUCACCUCAGACAAACUUCAGACCUUGAAAAUAAAAACAGACCCUAAUAUAAAGAAAAAUGUCUUGGAGUGAUAUCUUCUUUCCUGGAAAUCCCGAAAAAAGGGAAAGGCUUAUCCGCAAAAGUCAAGAGCUUCGAGAAUUGAUGAAAAACAACUUCCGAGCCACCAACCAACUCAUUAAGGCUCUGAAGGAGCACUUAGGCUUGUCCUUCAGGCCGAUCACGCUGAACGAGAAAGCAACUGUGAAGGAGAACUGUGACGUCAUCAUUGAACGCAUACGUGAGAUCCAGGCAGAAGUGGAGAAGAUUGACGAGAAGCUGAAGGCGAAGCUGGAACCGACUCUUUAUGAGAAACUGAAGAACAUGUCUCUCUCUGCUCGUGACUAUCAUCGAGUCUUAGGAUAUGUUCGUCCAGUUUGUGGUGUCGGGGGCUCUGCUGCCGUUAUUGCAGUUGGUUGGCUUAUUAAAAAUGAAAAAAUUCUGACAAACAUAAGAUUGACAUUUGGUUUAAUUAAAACAACAGCUUUAGCCACAGUAGUAGUUGGGUUGUUAUUUGCAGGGAUUGAUAUGAUUAUUAGCGGCAUUCUAGGAGCAAUUGAGCGUGGUGAACUUGAGAGGGCCCUGGAAGAGUAUGACGAGGCUUUGGAAGAAUUCAGGCCAGUGUCUGAAAAAUAUCAGGACAGCAUAACCUAUAUCAGGAUAAGACUUGAGAUGAGUGAAUAAAACGACAGUGACCUCCACAAUCGUAUCUGCAUAAUCAUUAACAAGUGAUACAUGGCUUUUCUUAUUCUCUGGCAGUUUUGUGUUGUUUUUUAAUUAGAUAUUUCUGAAUAGUAAGACAAAUAAGACAUUAAACUAUGAACAGAAAGUGUAGAAAGAUCCCUGUUUCAUAGUUAUGUUAAAAAGUGUGCCAUAAGCAAAAUAUGUAAGUUUUUCCUAUUUCACCACUGUAGUUGUAUUUGUCAUGAGUGUUACAUUUUAUAUAUUCAGAUAAAAGUCAUGCAUUCUUGUAGGUGUUUGUUAAAUUCUGUAUCUACAUCUGUCUGCUAUAGUCUCUCUGAAUUCAAUUAAAUAAACUGUUUAAAAAAAUAA